GUAUGAAGGAAGUGGGGGGAGGAAGGAAGGAAGAGAGGGAGUGAGAGAAAGUGACAGGAAAGCACGAAGGAAGGGAGGAAGGAAGUAAAGGAAGAGAGUAAAGACUGGAGGGAGGGAGGAAGGCAGGCAGGCAGAGAGAGAGGGAGGAAGAAAGGAAAGGAAGGGGGGAGAAGGGGAGGGAGGGAGGUAGGUAUGAAGAGAGGGAGUGAGAGAAAGUGACAGGAAAGUACGAAGGAAGGGAGGGAGGAAGUAAAGGAAGAGAGUAAAGACUGGAGGGAGGGAGGAAGGCAUGGGGGGAGGGAGGAAGGCAGGAAGGAAGGCAGGCAGGCAGAGAAGGAGGGAGGGAGGAAGAAAGGAAAGGAAGGGGGGGAGAAUGGGAGGGAGGUAGGUAUGAAGGAAGUGGGGGAGGAAGGAAGGAAGAGAGGGAGUGAGAGAAAGUGACAGGAAAGCACGAAGGAAGGGAGGAAGGAAGUCAGGAGGGCAGAAUGGAAAGAAGGAAGUAAAGGAAGAGAGUAAAGACUGUAGGGAGGGAGGAAGGCAGGCAGGAAGGAAGGCAGGCAGAGAGGGAGGGAGGAAGAAAGGAAAGGAAGGGGGGGGAGGAAGGGGAGGGAGGGAGGUAUGAAGAGAAGGAGUGAGAGAAAGUGACAGGAAAGCACGAAGGAAGGGAGGAAGGAAAAAAGGCAGGGAGGGGAGGAAGGAAGGAAGAGAGGGAGUGAGAGAAAGUGACAGGAAAGCACGAAGGAAGGGAGGAAGGAAAAAAGGCAGGGAGGACGGGAGGGAGGAAGGAAGGAAGGGAGAAAGGCAGGCAGGCAGACAGGAAGGAAGAGAGCGAGGGAGGUAGGAAGGCAGGGAGGAAGGAGUGAGGGAGGGAGGCAGGAAGGGUGCUGGGAAUGAAGGAAGGAAAGGGAGGGAGGGAGGACAGGUGGGAGGAAUGUAGGAAGGAAGGGAGAGAGGAAAAGAGGCAGGCUGGAAGGGAGACACGAAGACAGGAAGGAAGACAGGCUAGAAGGCAGGGAGGGAGGGAGGACACGUGGGAGGGAGGCAGACAGGAAGGAAGGGAGGGAGGAAGGAAGGAAGAUAGGGAGGGAGGGAGGAAGGAUUACUUUUCAGAACUGCUCUCACCCUAGUUUUAUGUUCCCCAGGUAAAUUCAUAUUUGUAAAUCUUUUCUCCUGAGCUGAAGUACAGCCCUUCCAACCAGCCAUUAUAGUGCAAUUUGUUUCCUACCAAUUGUUCUUUUUUCAUUGUUGUUGCUGUUUUUUUAAAAAAACUUAAGGGAAAAAAGCAAUCUCUCUCCCAGUUGGUUCUUUCUUUUCAAAGUGUGUGGGCCUUUUUGGUUGUUUUUUUGUUGUUGUUGUUGUAGUUCUGUUCUUUUUUGUUGUUGUUGUUGUUUUAAACUCAGCUGUUGCUUGCAGUCUUUCCAGUCAGCUUGAAUGAUUAAUGUGGUGCCACUGACUUGUUCUGUGUUUUAUUAAAAAAAAAAAAAAUGCACGAUUCAUGUUUUCCAAAGAGCCAUUUAGGUAUCUCUGAUAGACCACACCAUGUAUGUUUUAAAUUCUUUGUGUGCUCAAUCAAAAUGUACGCAAAAAGGAAGCGUUUCCACAGAGAUGAAUAGAACAGUCAAGGUUAGAGACACAGGCUAAAAAAAAACAGUGCCUCUCAGUGAGCUGUGUAUUAGACUGUAAUCAUGACAAAGCCAGGUCUUAAUAUCCUACAUUCAUUUAAGGGAGGAGAUUUGUUUUUAUGCCUACUAUUUAUUUAGCUUGCCUAAAUUCAGUUUGAAUAGCAAAACAACUUUCCUGGUUUAGCUGCACUACCAAGUCAAGGUCAUUCCCCUUAGAGAAAGAUCAAGAUCCUUUAUAAGGGGAAAAAAAAAAUGACUCUCACACCAAUUGAUCUGCUGAACAUCAUUAGAGAAGGGUAAGAGAUAAUCUAAACAUGGUCCGUGCUUCAUUGACUCACAU
ensembl:lncRNA